rnacentral:rRNA from 1 species
AUUGAACGCUGGCGGCAUGCCUUACACAUGCAAGUCGAACGGCAGCACGGGAGCAAUCCUGGUGGCGAGCGGCGAACGGGUGAGUAAAGUAUCGGAACGUGCCCAGUCGUGGGGGAUAACGUAGCGAAAGUUACGCUAAUACCGCAUACGAUCUAUGGAUGAAAGCGGGGGAUCGCAAGACCCCGCGCGAUUGGAGCGGGCGAUAUCAGAUUAGGUAGUUGGUGGGGUAAAGGCUCACCAAGCCGACGAUCUGUAGCUGGUCUGAGAGGACGACCAGCCACACUGGGACUGAGACACGGCCCAGACUCCUACGGGAGGCAGCAGUGGGGAAUUUUGGACAAUGGGCGAAAGCCUGAUCCAGCCAUGCCGCGUGCAGGAUGAAGGCCUUCGGGUUGUAAACUGCUUUUGUACGGAACGAAAAGGUUUGGCCUAAUAAGCUGAGCUCAUGACGGUACCGUAAGAAUGAGCACCGGCUAACUACGUGUCAGCCGCCGCAGUAA